GACAGAGGUCCCAAGCGUUAGGCGGAAUCACUGGGCUUAAAGCGUGUGUAGGCGGAUUUGUAAGUACCUUGUGAAAUCCCACGGCUCAACCGUGGAACUGCUUGGUAUACUGCUUAUCUUGGGCCAUCUAGGGGCGAGCGGAACAAACGGUGGAGCGGUGAAAUGCGUAGAUAUCGUUUGGAACGCCAAUGGUGAAAACAGCUCGCUGGGGAUGUGCCGACGCUGAGGUGCGAGAGCGUGGGGAGCGAACAGG
rnacentral:rRNA from 1 species